rnacentral:tRNA from 1 species
GUCAGGAUAGCUUAGUUGGUACAGCAGAGGAUUGAAAAUCCCCGUGUCAACGAUUCAAAUCUGGUUCCUGGCA